AUGGACGCCGACGACAUGGACGUCGACGAGAUCGACUCCCCCGCCUCCGCCUCCGCCUCCGGCUCCCUCUCCGCCUUCCUCUCCGAGCUCGCCGCCCUCCACCGCCGCGCCUCUUCCUCCUCCACAUCCACCUCCCCGCCCUUGUCCCUCCCUUCCCUCACCCUCCUCUCCUCCCCGGCCACCGCCGCCUCCCUCUUCCCCCGCCUCGCGNNNNNNNNNNNNNNNNNNNNNNNNNNNNNNNNNNNNNNNNNNNNNNNNNNNNNNNNNNNNNNNNNNNNNNNNNNNNNNNACCUCCGCCUCCUGCUAGCCCCGGCCUCCCCCCUUGCCUCCCUCUUCUCCCCGCUCCCCUUCCUCUCCUUCCUCCUCGCCCUCCGCAAGGCCGCCACCGACACCCAUAACCCUAGCGCCGCCUCCGACUCCGGCCCCCGCAAGCGCAAGAACCAGCGCCACCAAGCGGCCACGCGGUCCCCGUCUUUCCUUCCGCAGGCACUCUCCCUGCUCGCCGAUGCCGCGGGGAGGCUGCCGCUCGGGGAGUACCCUGAUGCGCUGAGGUCGCUCAUCGACACCGCCGCCGAGCUCGCGGCCUUCAAUGUCCUUGCCGCCGUCCUUGGAUCUCGCUACCACGCCGAGGCGGUGCAGGAUGUGAUACGCGCGCUGGUACCACUGGUGCUCUCGGGUGCGAAAUCGGCUGUGCGGUCGUCCGCGGUCGAGUUCUUGGUCAGAAAGAUUGUGCCUUUGGGUGCUGAUGAGGAAGGGGAGGAGGAGGGGAUAAGGAAGUUGGUGGGCUACCUGCCGAGGCUUUUGGCGGUGAAGGCACCGGAGAAGUCGGAGGCGAGGGGGCUGGCCGUUGAGGCCAUAGUUGAGGUGGUGCAGGCAAUGGAGCCACUUCAAAGGGAGGGCUUCACUGCAUAUCUGGUGGCCAUGUCCAGGGGCAAAGCAAAGGGACGGCUGUUUGCUGUGGAUAUGGUCCUGGCAAUGCUGCCGGUGCUGUUGCCUUCGGAAAUCGAUGAAUCUGGUCUCCAGGAGGGCUCUUGGGGGCUCAAGUGUGUCCAGGUGUUGGUGGAGAGGUGUUCAGACAGCGCUGGAGCCGUCCGUGCUCGGGCCUUGACGAAUGCAGCCCAUGCGCUUGAUGUUUUGUCUGAAAGAGGCGUGGAGGUCGAUCGAUUGCAGGAGGUGAUGAAGAUAGGGAACAUGGGUCUUGGAGAGUUGUUGAGGAGAAGGUGCAUUGAUGAUAAGGCUGCUGUGAGGAAAGCUUCACUUGUGCUCAUCACCAAGGCAAUUGGUUUGAUUGGCAGGCCUGUCGAUGAGUCGCUACUUACUGCAAUGGGGGCUGCAUGCUCUGAUCCGCUAGUCACCAUUCGCAAGGCGGCUCUUGCAGCCAUCUCAGAGGUGUUCCGGAAAUUCCCAGAUGAGAGUGUGACAAAGGAGUGGCUUCAGGCUGUGCCAUCACUGAUGAUUGAUAGUGAGACCAGUAUCCAGGAGGAAUGUGAGAACUUGUUUCUUGAACUGGUUCUGAACAGGGUCUGCCAAGCUGCCAAUUUGAAACUGGAUGAUGAUUCAGUCAACUUGGAGGAGCUGUUCCCGGACGGGACACUGGAUUUGCUGAAAAGCAUAUGUGAUGGAGAGGUUGUUCCCUGCAUAAAAAGGAUAUGUGCAAGCCUUGGGAGGAAGAAAAAGCUGAGACCACUGCUUGCUAGUUCACUCCAGAAUAUAAUAACAAUAUCUGAAACCUUGUGGUUGAGAAGUUCUAAGCCAAUUGAGAAUUGGACUGCACCAGCUGGGGCUUGGUGGCUUCUUUCCGAGGUCUCCUCAUUUGCGCCUAAAUCAGUUAACUGGAAGUUCCUCUCUCACCACUGGAAACUCCUUGAUAAUGUUGGCCAAGAAGGCAAAGGCAAAGGUAAAGCUUCUUCUGAAGGGGAACCAAACUCUGCGCUCUGGGCUGUGGAUCGUGUUUCACUCCUGCAAACUAUUUCAAAUGUCUCCAUGGAGCUACCUGUGGAGCCUGCAGCAGAACUGGCACACAGCUUACUCACGCGGAUUGAAAAUUUUGAUAUGAACCUGAGUGAGGUCGAUGCCCAUGUAAAGUCACUGAAAACUUUAUGUAAACGGAAAGCGAAAACGGCAAAGGAAGCUGAAGCACUAAUAAUGAAGUGGGUUCAGCAACUUAUCAAUAAAGCAGUUGAUAGUUUACAAAGCUACAUAAAAGGAACAUCACAAGAUUCCAGGGGUUGUAGCUACAAUACUCCUCUGACUGGCAAACUUAAGGGAAGAAAGGAGGCAUCCACAUCAAAGGAGAUGUCAGAAGCUGUUAUUGCUGUCUUCACCGUUGGAUCAGUGAUCCUAGCUUGCCCUGAUGCUAGUGUGCAAGGCAUCAUUCCUUUGCUGCACACAGUCAUAACCUCUGGAAACCCCGAGCCAAGACCAACAAUGCUUGCAGGUGGAGCCGUUUCUUUCAAUGAGGUAGCUCCAUCAUUAUAUAUACAGUCGUGGGAUACAAUGGCAAAAAUAUGCCUUGUAGAUGACAAACUAGCAAAACGAUAUAUUCCGCUCUUUGUUCAGGAGCUUGAGCGGAGUGAUUUGGCCACCCUCCGGAAUAAUAUCAUGAUAGCAAUGGCUGACUUUUAUGUACGCUAUACAGCACUAGUUGACUGUUAUAUGUCAAAAAUAACAAAAGUGCUGCGUGAUCCCUGUGAAGUAGUACGGAGGCAAACGUUUGUCCUACUCGCAAAGUUGUUGCAGAGGGAUUACGUAAAAUGGAGAGGAGUGCUUUUCCUUCGGUUUCUGCCAUCUUUAGUUGACGAAUCGGAUAAGAUAAGGCAUUUGGCUGACUACCUAUUUGGAAGCAUCUUAAAAGCCAAAGCGCCACUUCUUGCAUAUAACAGUUUCAUAGAAGCUAUCUACGUCCUAAACAAUUGCACAGGACAUGGUGGAUAUAGUGAGUCUCAGUCUCAGAGUUCUCAAGGGUCCCAAAGUUCAGACAGAGGACAAGCCCUUUUUGCGAUAUGGGGAACUGACGAAAGGUCAAGGUCAAAACGAAUGCACAUAUAUGUGUCCUUGUUGAAACAAAUGGCCCCGGAGCACCUUCUAGCUACAUCAGCCAAGUUAUGUGCUGAGAUCUUAGCAGGUGUUUGUGAUGGCUUGCUAAGUGUUGACGAUGCAGCUGGAAGGGCUGUAGUUCAGGAUGCUCUACAAAUACUAGCUUGCAAGGAGAUGCGCAUCCAUCCCAGCAUCCUUGCGGACAAUUCCGAGAUGGAUGAUGAUGGUGUAGAUGGCGGGACGGCCAACGCCCUCCAGGCGGCCAAAGGGCGGGCGGUGACCCAGGUGGCAAAGAAGAACCUGAUUCAGAUCGCAAUCCCGAUAUUCAUCGAGCUGAAGCGGCUGCUGGAGAGCAAGAACAGCCCUCUGACGGGGUGCCUGAUGGAGUGCUUGCGCGCCCUGCUCAAGGACUACAAGAACGAGUUCGAUGAGAUACUGGUGGCGGACAAGCAGCUUCAGAAGGAGCUCCUCUACGACAUGCAGAAGUUUGAGGCCGGCAAGGGCAAGUCGUCCAGGGAAGAAGAGGCCGCGGGCCCCAGCGGGAGCUCUCCGGCUGCUCCUGAUCCGAGUGAUGCGGCAACGAAGGCCACGGUGCGGUCGGUGCUCAAGGAGAUGAACCGGAACGUGCCGACACCACCGCUGCACACCAUGAGCGUACCCAAGGUGAAGUCGGUGCUGGGCACUGGAGCGCUGAGUGGCUCGCGCCGUCCAGCUAUCCUAGAAUCAGUCAGGCGGCUCGAGCCAUUUGGGUCAGACGAUGAGAAUUAG
rnacentral:rRNA from 1 species